AGAGUUUGAUCCUGGCUCAGAAUCAACGCUGGCGGCGUGCCUCAGACAUGCAAGUCGAACGGUUAAAGCUCUCUUCGGAGAGUGCAUAAAGUGGCGCACGGGUGAGUAACACGUAAGUAAUCUACCUCUGAGUGGGGAAUAACGUCCGGAAACGGACGCUAAUACCGCAUAAUGCAGCGGCAUCAUAAGAUGACAGUUGUUAAAGAUUUAUCGCUUAGAGAGGAGCUUGCGGCAGAUUAGCUAGUUGGUAAGGUAACGGCUUACCAAGGCUACGAUCUGUAACCGGUCUUAGAGGACGGUCGGUCACACUGACACUGAAUAACGGGUCAGACUCCUACGGGAGGCAGCAGUCGGGAAUUUUGGGCAAUGGGCGAAAGCCUGACCCAGCAACGCCGCGUGAAGGAUGAAGUAUUUCGGUAUGUAAACUUCGAAAGGAUAGGAAGAAUAAAUGACGGUACUAUUUAUAAGGUCCGGCUAACUACGUGCCAGCAGCCGCGGUAAUACGUAGGGACCAAGCGUUGUUCGGAUUUACUGGGCGUAAAGGGCGCGUAGGCGGCAUGACAAGUCACUUGUGAAAUCUCCGGGCUUAACUCGGAACGGCCAAGUGAUACUGUCACGCUAGAGUAUUGGAGGGGCAAUCGGAAUUCUUGGUGUAGCGGUGAAAUGCGUAGAUAUCAAGAGGAACACCUGAGGUGAAGACGGGUUGCUGGCCAAAUACUGACGCUGAGGCGCGAAAGCCAGGGGAGCAAACGGGAUUAGAUACCCCGGUAGUCCUGGCCCUAAACGAUGAAUACUUGGUG
rnacentral:rRNA from 1 species